GUCGGCGUCGUAUAAUGGCUAUUAUACCUGCUUGCCAUGCAGGGGAUGAGGGUUCGAUUCCCUUCGCCGGCUCCA
rnacentral:tRNA from 1 species